ACCAGGUCUUGACAUCCUCUGACAAUCCUAGAGAUAGGACGUCCCCUUCGGGGGCAGAGUGACAGGUGGUGCAUGGUUGUCGUCAGCUCGUGUCGUGAGAUGUUGGGUUAAGUCCCGCAACGAGCGCAACCCUUGAUCUUAGUUGCCAGCAUUCAGUUGGGCACUCUAAGGUGACUGCCGGUGACAAACCGGAGGAAGGUGGGGAUGACGUCAAAUCAUCAUGCCCCUUAUGACCUGGGCUACACACGUGCUACAAUGGACAGAACAAAGGGCAGCGAAACCGCGAGGUUAAGCCAAUCCCACAAAUCUGUUCUCAGUUCGGAUCGCAGUCUGCAACUCGACUGCGUGAAGCUGGAAUCGCUA
rnacentral:rRNA from 1 species